rnacentral:rRNA from 1 species
GACGAACCGUCCUAACGUUGUUCGGAAUCACUGGGCUUAAAGGGCGCGUAGGCGGGCCACCAAGUCCGGGGUGAAAUCUUUCGGCUUAACCGGAAAACUGCCUUGGAUACUGGUGGUCUCGAGGGAGGUAGGGGUCUGUGGAACUUCUGGUGGAGCGGUGAAAUGCGUUGAUAUCAGAAGGAACGCCGGUGGCGAAAGCGACGGACUGGACCUUCACUGACGCUGAGGCGCGAAAGCUAGGGGAGCAAACGGG